GUUAGACUUUUCUGUAAUUUCUACAGUUAUUUACCAUUUAUCAACCAGUAUAAUACUGUAAAUUCUCUUUACAGUUUAUAACUGUAAUUCCCUUUGCAUCAUGGGAAUUUUCUGUGACAUUAAACACCAAAUACAGUGAUUGCUAUUUGGAUCGUCAGGAUUUGCUUUACGAUUUAGAUUAGGAACCAUAAAGUGCAGGGUUGAAGUUUUGCCCGAGGAGAGUGAUCAGCUGACGAUGCCGGAGAACAUAAUAAGAGCUGCGUCCAAGGACAGACACCUUGCGAAGAUUUUUUCAUCCCCGUGAGUAAGGAAGAGGAAGAACAGCAAACAAGCAAGCUACAAUAAAGGCAUCCAUCGAGAAAGACAUGAGCCUUCCAGCCACACCAAGACUCAUAAUGCUUGGUCACAAUUUUUCUCUUCCACAAAGUGGAUGGUAAGCAUUGAGGGAAAGGUGGCCUAUGUUUUGGAUGAGCACCUGGGAUGAGCAGAUGCCUUUCUGUAUUCUUCAUCUUCUACGUUUUCAACAUUGAAUACAAGGGGAGACUGCCUGUGCAACACUGGAACUCAUAAAACAGUUUUUCUUGAGGAUAAACCCAGAGGAGGGAACAAAAUGCACCGCCAAAACCGGAGUGAGUCGGAAGACAGGGGAAGUUGUGAAGAGAAAGACAACAGUAAUCAACAACAGUGUCAUCCUUUCUUCGCCACCUAAUGGAG